GAUGAACGCUGGCGGCGUGCUUAACACAUGCAAGUCGAACGAUGAAGCCCAGCUUGCUGGGUGGCUUAUUGGCGAACGGGUGAGUAACACGUGAGUAACCUGCCCUUAACUCUGGGAUAAGCCUGGGAAACUGGGUCUAAUACCGGAUAGGAGCGUCCACCGCAUGGUGGGUGUUGGAAAUAUUUUUCGGUUUUGGAUGGACUCGCGGCCUAUCAGCUUGUUGGUGAGGUAAUGUCUCAGCAAGGCGACGACGGGUAGCCGGCCUGGGAGGGGGACCGGCCACACUGGGACUGAGACAAGGCACAGACUACUCCGGGAGGCAGCAGUGGAGAAUAUUGCACAAUGGGAGGAAGCAUGAUGCAGCGAAGCCGCGUGAGGGAUGACGGCAUUCGGGUUGUAAACCUCUUUCAGUAGGGAAGAAGCGAAAGUGACGGUACCUGCAGAAGAAGCACCGGCUAACUACGUG
rnacentral:rRNA from 1 species